rnacentral:rRNA from 1 species
GAUGAACGCUGGCGGCGUGCCUAAUACAUGCAAGUCGAGCGAACGGACGAGAAGCUUGCUUUUCUGAUGUUAGCGGCGGACGGGUGAGUAACACGUGGAUAACCUACCUAUAAGACUGGGAUAACUUCGGGAAACCGGAGCUAAUACCGGAUAAUAUUUUGAACCGCAUGGUUCAAAAGUGAAAGACGGUCUUGCUGUCACUUAUAGAUGGAUCCGCGCUGCAUUAGCUAGUUGGUAAGGUAACGGCUUACCAAGGCAACGAUGCAUAGCUGACCUGAGAGGGUGAUCGGCCACACUGGAACUGAGACACGGUCCAGACUCCUACGGGAGGCAGCAGUAGGGAAUCUUCCGCAAUGGGCGAAAGCCUGACGGAGCAACGCCGCGUGAGUGAUGAAGGUCUUCGGAUCGUAAAACUCUGUUAUUAGGGAAGAACAUAUGUGUAAGUAACUGUGCACAUCUUGACGGUACCUAAUCAGAAAGCCACGGCUAACUACGU